rnacentral:tRNA from 1 species
GAAAUGUGUUGUUCACAAAAGAGCUGCUAACUCUUUUCCUAGCGGUUAAAUUCCGUUAACAUUUCU